AAGGAAUAUUGGACAAUGGAGGCAACUCUGAUCCAGCCAUGCCGCGUGAAGGAAUAAGGCCCUAUGGGUUGUAAACUUCUUUUAGACGGGACAAAACCCCUUUACGUGUAAAGGGUUGAUGGUACUGUCAGAAUAAGCAUCGGCUAACUUCGUGCCAGCAGCCGCGGUAAUACGAAGGAUGCAAGCGUUAUCCGGAAUUAUUGGGUUUAAAGGGUGCGUAGGCGGACUAAUAAGUCAGUGGUGAAAGACUGCAGCUUAACUGCAGAAUUGCCAUUGAUACUGUUAGUCUUGAGUACAGUUGGGGUAGGCGGAAUGUGUCAUGUAGCGGUGAAAUGCUUAGAUAUGACACAGAACACCGAUUGCGAAGGCAGCUUGCUAAGCUGUAACUGACGCUGAGGCACGAAAGCGUGGGGAGCAAACA
rnacentral:rRNA from 1 species